UACGUAGGGUGCGAGCGUUAAUCGGAAUUACUGGGCGUAAAGCGUGCGCAGGCGGUGAUGUAAGACCGAUGUGAAAUCCCCGGGCUUAACCUGGGAACUGCAUUGGUGACUGCAUUGCUCGAGUAUGGCAGAGGGGGGUGGAAUUCCACGUGUAGCAGUGAAAUGCGUAGAGAUGUGGAGGAACACCGAUGGCGAAGGCAGCCCCCUGGGCCAAU
rnacentral:rRNA from 1 species